ensembl:misc_RNA 7SK 7SK RNA
AGAUGUGAGGGUGAUCUGGCUGCGACACCUAUCACCCCAUGGAUCGUCAGGGUUGAUUCGGCUGAUCCGGCUGGCUAGGUGGGUAUCCCCUUCCUCCCUCUCUCUCCAAGUACGUCCCUCCCAAAGCUGCGCACUCAAAGAGGAUGACCAUCCCCGAUGGAGGAGGACCCAGCUUUGGUCAAGGAUGUAUGAGUAGCCAUGCUCCCCUGCUAGAACCUCCAAACAAGCUCUCAAGAAUAAGCUAUGUUCUGUCACAAGGUUUUUCUUUUUUUCUAGCAGCUGAACAAGCAAUGGCCUCAAGAUAAGCAAGAUGAAAAUAAUCAUAGCUCCCCGCCAGAUGCUGACUGACCCUCUUC